UACGUAGGGGGCAAGCGUUGUCCGGAUUUAUUGGGCGUAAAGAGCGUGUAGGCGGCUUUACAGGUCCGUUGUGAAAACUCGAGGCUCAACCUCGAGACGCCGGUGGAAACCGUAAAGCUAGAGUCCGGAAGAGGAGAGUGGAAUUCCUGGUGUAGCGGUGAAAUGCGCGGAUAUCAGGAGGAGCACCCGUGGCGAAAGCGGCUCUCUGGGACGGUACUGACGCUGAGACGCGAAAGCGUGGGGAGCAAACGGG
rnacentral:rRNA from 1 species